AUCCACUGGACAUUUUUCCGCUGUGCAUUGAAUCUUCUCUUCCAUGUUCUAAUUGGAGAUUCCUCCUCCCCUAAGCCGCCCGACUUUCCCCAUUCGCUGGACACCUGGACCUCAAGUCCUCAACCUCGUUCUCGUCGCCGCUUAUCGUCCUUAAAGAUUCUUCACCCUCCUCGCCGUUGCCCACCUCACUCGUCCUCGGCACCUCGUCUUCAGAGUGGUCCUUCACCCUUCUGAAAACCGUGCGCUCCAUAAUCCAAAUUCUCGUCUUCACCGUACCUCGCCGUUGCCGAUCGUGGUCCGUUGUCCUCAGAUUAGAGGAAGCAUGGAAUAAGUUCAAUUCUGAGAAGAUUUUCUUAUCGUUCAAGGCAUUUUGUUCAUCUAUUUUGUAGAGGGGGCCGCAACCUUGUAUUAGCUGCUAUGUUUACUCAAAGUGUCCUGCAAAAUUGGCUGUGAAUUGAGUGUCCUGU